UACGAAGGGUGCAAGCGUUACUCGGAAUUACUGGGCGUAAAGCGUGCGUAGGUGGUUUGUUAAGUCUGUUGUGAAAGCCCCGGGCUCAACCUGGGAAUGGCAAUGGAUACUGGCAAGCUAGAGUUCGGGAGAGGGAUGCGGAAUUCCAGGUGUAGCGGUGAAAUGCGUAGAUAUCUGGAGGAACACCGGUGGCGAAGGCGGCAUCCUGGACCGACACUGACACUGAGGAGCGAAAGCCAGGGGAGCAAACGGG
rnacentral:rRNA from 1 species